rnacentral:rRNA from 1 species
GACGAACGCUGGCGGCGUGCUUAACACAUGCAAGUCGAACGGAAAGGCCCUGCUUUUGUGGGGUGCUCGAGUGGCGAACGGGUGAGUAACACGUGAGUAACCUGCCCUUGACUUUGGGAUAACUUCAGGAAACUGGGGCUAAUACCGGAUAGGAGCUCCUGCUGCAUGGUGGGGGUUGGAAAGUUUCGGCGGUUGGGGAUGGACUCGCGGCUUAUCAGCUUGUUGGUGGGGUAGUGGCUUACCAAGGCUUUGACGGGUAGCCGGCCUGAGAGGGUGACCGGCCACAUUGGGAAUGGGAUACGGCCCAGACUCCUACGGGAGGCAGCAGUGGGGAAUAUUGCACAAUGGGCGGAGGCCUGAUGCAGCAACGCCGCGUGCGGGAUGACGGCCUUCGGGUUGUAAACCGCUUUCGCCUGUGACGAAGCGUGAGUGACGGUAAUGGGUAAAGAAGCACCGGCUAACUACGUG